UCUGCAGCAUCUCUUUCUUCUUGCAGCCCUCUUUUGAGCAACGGUAUGUAAAAAUCUAAGAGAGCAAAGUGACUUCAACAAGCAAUUCUUUUUUUUGGAAACAGGGUCUUGCUCUGUUGCCCAGGCUGAAGUGCAGUGGCUUGAUCUUGGCUCACUGCAACCUCUGCCUCCUGGACUCAAGUGAUUCUCCUGCUUCAGCCUAGUACCUGGUACUACAGGCACACACCGCCACGUCCAGCUAAUUUUGUCUAUUUUCAUAGAGAUGAGGUCUUGCCACGUUACCCAGGCUGGUCUCAAACUCAGCCUCAAGUGAUCCUCCUGCCUUGGCCUCCCAAAGUGCUAAAAGAUUACAUGUGUGAGCCACUGUGCCGGCCUUAAUAAAUUCUUUAACAGCCCCCAGUAAGAACAUUCACAUUUAAACCAGACACGGUUCCUGUCUGCACAGAGUACAGAUGCAAAGUUUCAUUUGACCAUCUCAGUGCAGGUAAGAAGAAGAACAUGGGGCUGGACCCAGUGGCUCACGCCUGUCAUCCCAGCACUUUAGGAAGCCAAGACGAGUGGAUUGCCUGAGCUCAGGAGUUCGAGCUCCCCACCCACCGUGAUGACCUAAA
rnacentral:lncRNA from 1 species